rnacentral:rRNA from 1 species
GACGAACGCUGGCGGCGUGCCUAAUACAUGCAAGUAGAACGCACAGUUUAUACCGUAGCUUGCUACACCAUAGACUGUGAGUUGCGAACGGGUGAGUAACGCGUAGGUAACCUGCCUGGUAGCGGGGGAUAACUAUUGGAAACGAUAGCUAAUACCGCAUAAUAUUGAUUAUUGCAUGAUAAUUGAUUGAAAGAUGCUAUUGCAUCACUACCAGAUGGACCUGCGUUGUAUUAGCUAGUAGGUGAGGUAACGGCUCACCUAGGCGACGAUACAUAGCCGACCUGAGAGGGUGAUCGGCCACACUGGACUGAGACACGGCCCAGACUCCUACGGGAGGCAGCAGUAGGGAAUCUUCGGCAAUGGACGAAAGUCUGACCGAGCAACGCCGCGUGAGUGAAGAAGGUUUUCGGAUCGUAAAGCUCUGUUGUAAGAGAAGAACGGGUGUGAGAGUGGAAAGUUCACACUGUGACGGUAUCUUACCAGAAAGGGACGGCUAACUACGUG